GGUCGGAGGAGCACCGGAAAUAGCUUGUGUGCAUGCGCAAGUGUUAUUUCCGGUGCACAUCCGGGUCGGAGGUGGCCUGUGCAUAUGCACACAAGCUAUUUCCGGUGCUCCUCCGACC
rnacentral:miRNA from 1 species